rnacentral:rRNA from 1 species
CGAGGGGUAACGUGAGUAGCUUGCACUUGACGACGACCGGCGCACGGGUGCGUAACGCGUAUAGAACCUACCUUAUAGUAAGGGAUAGCCCAGAGAAAUUUGGAUUAAUACCUUAUAGUAUGAUAAGAUGGCAUCAUUUAAUCAUUAAAGAUUUAUUGCUAUAAGAUGGCUAUGCGUUCUAUUAGCUAGUUGGUAUGGUAACGGCAUACCAAGGCAACGAUAGAUAGGGGUCCUGAGAGGGAGAUCCCCCACACUGGUACUGAGACACGGACCAGACUCCUACGGGAGGCAGCAGUGAGGAAUAUUGGACAAUGGAGGCAACUCUGAUCCAGCCAUGCCGCGUGUAGGAAGACUGCCCUAUGGGUUGUAAACUACUUUUAUAGAGGAAGAAACAGUUCCACGUGUGGAACUCUGACGGUACUCUACGAAUAAGGAUCGGCUAACUCCGUGCCAGCAGCCGCGGUAAUACGGAGGAUCCAAGCGUUAUCCGGAAUCAUUGGGUUUAAAGGGUCCGUAGGCGGGUCUGUAAGUCAGUGGUGAAAGUUUUCGGCUCAACCGGAAAAUUGCCAUUGAUACUGCAGGUCUUGAAUCAUUAUGAAGUGGUUAGAAUAAGUAGUGUAGCGGUGAAAUGCAUAGAUAUUACUUAGAAUACCGAUUGCGAAGGCAGAUCACUAAUAAUGUAUUGACGCUAAGGGACGAAAGCGUGGGUAGCGAACAGGAUUAGAUACCCUGGUAGUCCACGCCGUAAACGAUGGUUACUAGCUGUUCGGACUUCGGUCUGAGUGGCUAAGCGAAAGUGAUAAGUAACCCACCUGGGGAGUACGUUCGCAAGAAUGAAACUCAAGGAAUUGACGGGGGCCCGCACAAGCGGUGGAGCAUGUGUUUAAUUCGAUGAUACGCGAGGAACUUUACCAGGGCUUAA